UACGAAGGGGGCUAGCGUUGCUCGGAAUCACUGGGCGUAAAGCGUGCGCAGGCGGCUUUGCAAGACAGAUGUGAAAUCCCCGGGCUUAACCUGGGAACUGCAUUUGUGACUGGCGGGCUAGAGUAUGGCAGAGGGGGGUAGAAUUCCACGUGUAGCAGUGAAAUGCGUAGAGAUGUGGAGGAAUACCGAUGGCGAAGGCAGCCCCCUGGGCCAACACUGACGCUCAUGCACGAAAGCGUGGGGAGCAAACAGG
rnacentral:rRNA from 1 species